rnacentral:tRNA from 1 species
GGGCCUGUAGUUUAGCGGUAAAACGUCGUCCUCCGAAGAUGAAGUCGCGGGUUCGAGCCCCGUUAGGUCCA